GAUGAACGCUGGCGGCGUGCCUAAUACAUGCAAGUCGAGCGAACAGACGAGGAGCUUGCUCCUCUGACGUUAGCGGCGGACGGGUGAGUAACACGUGGGUAACCUACCUAUAAGACUGGGAUAACUUCGGGAAACCGGAGCUAAUACCGGAUAAUAUAUUGAACCGCAUGGUUCAAUAGUGAAAGACGGUUUUGCUGUCACUUAUAGAUGGAUCCGCGCCGCAUUAGCUAGUUGGUAAGGUAACGGCUUACCAAGGCAACGAUGCGUAGCCGACCUGAGAGGGGGAUCGGCCACACUGGAACUGAGACACGGUCCAGACUCCUACGGGAGGCAGAAGUAGGGAAUCUUCCGCAAUGGGCGAAAGCCUGACGGAGCAACGCCGCGUGAGUGAUGAAGGUCUUCGGAUCGUAAAACUCUGUUAUUAGGGAAGAACAAAUGUGUAAGUAACUAUGCACGUCUUGACGGUACCUAAUCAGAAAGCCACGGCUAACUACGUG
rnacentral:rRNA from 1 species